GCGACCCCAGGACGGGCGAGGCCACCCGCCGAAUUUAAG
rnacentral:rRNA from 3 species